UACGUAGGGUGCGAGCGUUGUCCGGAAUUAUUGGGCGUAAAGAGCUCGUAGGCGGUUUGUCGCGUCGACUGUGAAAACCUACAGCUUAACUGUGGGCUUGCAGUCGAUACGGGCAGACUUGAGUUCGGUAGGGGAGACUGGAAUUCCCGGUGUAGCGGUGAAAUGCGCAGAUAUCAGGAGGAACACCGGUGGCGAAGGCGGGUCUCUGGGCCAUUACUGACGCUGAGGAGCGAAAGCGUGGGGAGCAAACAGG
rnacentral:rRNA from 1 species